rnacentral:rRNA from 1 species
GAUGAACGCUGGCGGCGUGCCUAAUACAUGCAAGUCGAGCGAACAGACGAGGAGCUUGCUCCUCUGACGUUAGCGGCGGACGGGUGAGUAACACGUGGAUAACCUACCUAUAAUACUGGGAUAACUUCGGGAAACCGGAGCUAAUACCGGAUAAUAUAUUGAACCUCAUGGUUCAAUAGUGAAAGACGGUUUUGCUGUCACUUAUAGAUGGAUCCGCGCCGCAUUAGCUAGUUGGUAAGGUAACGGCUUACCAAGGCAACGAUGCGUAGCCGACCUGAGAGGGUGAUCGGCCACACUGGAACUGAGACACGGUCCAGACUCCUACGGGAGGCAGCAGUAGGGAAUCUAACACAAUGGGCGAAAGCCUGACGGAGCAACGCCGCGUGGGUGAUGAAGGUCUUCGGAUCGUAAAACUCUGUUAUUAGGGAAGAACAAAUGUGUAAGUAACUAUGCACGUCUUGACGGUACCUAAUCAGAAAGCCACGGCUAACUACGUG